rnacentral:lncRNA from 1 species
UUUCAUGUUAAUAGCCUUCUGAGGCUAACUAUAAUUUUGCCAAUUAAAACUUUUUUUUUUUUUUUAAAGAAAACCAGCAAAAAAUAAAAGUGCCAUCUCCUUGGUGCUGUGUUCAUUUAAGAAUCAGCGUUCCAGGCUAGACUUUAUAGUCUGAUUAAAACCAAAACUGUUACUAGGUUUUAAAAGUUAAAUUUUUUUCUUUAAAAUGAUGAGUCAGCUUUGGUAUAAUUCAAUUUUUGUAAACUGUUUUAACUACAUAGGUAGAGCUUAUAGGUAUAUCUAUAAUAAAAGCAUUUUACUUCUUUGGGAGGAUGCUGGCUGUUUUUGUGUCUUUUUGUAAGCUUUUUGGCAUUUGUCUUGAU